rnacentral:rRNA from 1 species
GAUGAACGCUGGCGGCGUGCCUAAUACAUGCAAGUCGAGCGAACAGAUGAGGAGCUUGCUCCUCUGACGUUAGCGGCGGACGGGUGAGUAACACGUGGAUAACCUACCUAUAAGACUGGGAUAACUUCGGGAAACCGGAGCUAAUACCGGAUAAUAUAUUGAACCGCAUGGUUCAAUAGUGAAAGACGGUUUUGCUGUCACUUAUAGAUGGAUCCGCGCCGCAUUAGCUAGUUGGUAAGGUAACGGCUUACCAAGGCAACGAUGCGUAGCCGACCUGAGAGGGUGAUCGGCCCCACUGGACCUGAGACACGGUCCAGACUCCUACGGGAGGCAGCAGUAGGGAAUCUUCCGCAAUGGGCGAAAGCCUGACGGAGCAACGCCGCGUGAGUGAUGAAGGUCUUCGGAUCGUAAAACGCUGUUAUUAGGGAAGAACAAAUGUGUAAGUAACUAUGCACGUCUGGACGGUACCUAAUCAGAAAGCCACGGCUAACUACGU